rnacentral:rRNA from 1 species
ACGCUGGCGGCGCGCCUAACACAUGCAAGUCGAACGGAGCUUAGAGAGCUUGCUUUUUAAGCUUAGUGGCGAACGGGUGAGUAACGCGUGAGUAACCUGCCCUGGAGUGGGGGACAACAGUUGGAAACGACUGCUAAUACCGCAUAAGCCCACGGUACCGCAUGGCACUGAGGGAAAAGGAUUUAUUCGCUUUAGGAUGGACUCGCGUCCAAUUAGCUAGUUGGUGAGGUAACGGCCCACCAAGGCGACGAUUGGUAGCCGGACUGAGAGGUUGAACGGCCACAUUGGGACUGAGACACGGCCCAGACUCCUACGGGAGGCAGCAGUGGGGGAUAUUGCACAAUGGGGGAAACCCUGAUGCAGCGACGCCGCGUGGAGGAAGAAGGUUUUCGGAUUGUAAACUCCUGUCGUUAGGGACGAUAAUGACGGUACCUAACAAGAAAGCACCGGCUAACUACGUG